CCUACGGGUGGCAGCAGUGGGGAAUAUUGCACAAUGGGGGAAACCCUGAUGCAGCGACGCCGCGUGAGUGAAGAAGUAUUUCGGAAUGUAAAGCUCUAUCAGCAGGGAAGAAAUAAAGUACUUCGGACUUUGGACGGUACAUGACUAAGAAGCCCCGGCUAACUACGUGCCAGCAGCCGCGGUAAUACGUAGGGGGCAAGCGUUAUCCGGCUUUACUGGGUGUAAAGGGAGCGUAGACGGUGGAGCAAGUCUGAUGUGAAAGGUCGGGGCCCAACCCCGGGACUGCAUUGGAUACUGUUGGACUGGAGUGCAGGAGAGGUAAGCGGAAUUCCUAGUGUAGCGGUGAAAUGCGUAGAUAUUAGGAGGAACACCAGUGGCGAAGGCAGCUUACUGAACUGUAACUGACGUUGAGGCUCGAAAGCGUGGGGAGCAAACAGGAUUAGAUACCCUGGUAGUC
rnacentral:rRNA from 1 species